rnacentral:rRNA from 1 species
UGGAUACUAGGUGUGGGAGGUAUCGACCCCUACCGUGCCGGAGUUAACGCAAUAAGUAUCCCGCCUGGGGAGUACGGUCGCAAGACUGAAACUCAAAGGAAUUGACGGGGACCCGCACAAGCGGUGGAGUAUGUGGUUUAAUUCGAAGCAACGCGAAGAACCUUACCAGGUCUUGACAUUGAUUGACAGGGAUAGAGAUAUCCUAUUCUCUUUGGAGACAAGAAAACAGGUGGUGCAUGGCUGUCGUCAG